rnacentral:lncRNA from 1 species
AUCAGCUUGUUUAUUGAUGAAGUCUCUCAUCUUUGAAAGCUGCAGCCACUGCAUGACCCUAGGACCCAGAUCCCCCACAGGCUUUGAGAAGAUGACCCCAAGUCAAGCCGAGCGCAUAUGAGAGCAGUGGAGAAAGAGCUCUGUUUCUGUCUUCAAGAGGGCAUACUGCAUAUUUCCCAGAGACAAAAGGGAGCAUCGAACCCAAUGCCAGUUUGCUAACAGAGCCUUCCAUAUGCAAGCACCAGAGUUCUAUGCUUCACCAGGUUGGUCAUUUCU